GGACGAACUCUUAUCUCCUCCUCAUUGUGAGUUGAAACCCCACCAUUGAGUAAAUUGAAACUCCAGCCGUUCUGGCUUAUCCCCAAGUGAAUUUUAGCCAAGUAUGACUGAGACCACGCUGCUCUCCUUGCUGUUCUUCUGGAAAUCUUGCCUCUUUUAUAGGCAUACUUCUCUUUGCCUGGAAUUGGGUAAAGGAAGCCAUAAGAUCAACCCUUGUAGUGAAAGAACAGAGCAGAAAGGGUCAGGACACUUUUGUUCUCUUUCAUUUUCUAAAACGCCCCAGGUACUUUGCAGCUGACAUGAGAUGCCUGGGCCCACCAACCCAGUCUCACAGACGCACAUCCUUUCUCUCCCUCCCACAGUCCGGUCCACAAAAGCCUUGGUUGUCAACAUAUUCAACUUCAUCAUCACUGUGGGAGCCACGUUCGUCUGCACAUUCCUGGGCAGCGAGUAUGUCUUCACGGAAAUGGCAGCGCGUGUGUUGUCUGCUGUGAUUGCAGCCUCUGUGGUGGGUUUGGCAGAUCUGUAUAUGAUGGUGAGGAUGCUGGAAGGGGAACUGGGAGAACUGUAGCCACAGACUUCCAGAGGACCCAUCCUGCCUCUGCCUCUUGGGCUCCCCUGCCCUGCCAGACCUGAGGCAUUGGGAAGUCGACAUGCAGAAUCCACCCUCAAAUCCCAGGAGAGAACUGUCAAAGGAGGAGGAGGACUUGCACUCUGCACCUUGUCCUGCAGCCCAGCCAAAGAGACUCUCUGGCCGUUUGACAUCUGUCUCCCUUCCUCCUGCACAAGGCAAGACAGCGGUCCCAGGGAGUUGUACAAGUCCCUCUAUUCCUUCUGGACAUUCUGUUACCCACCUCAUCUAUCUUGUUCACAACCAAGUGUUGUUUUGUUUCUGUGGCUGAAGCUGCACAAGCUCAGGACUGUGGAUGGAUAAAGGAACUUCCUUUUGGUGGUAGAAGACCCGUCCCUCCCCGCUGCUGUUGGGUUGUUGGACUGUUGUCUUGCCCCAGCCAAACCCUUCCUUUGGCAUUGCUGCAGGAUUUGUCGUACCUCCCUCCCACCCUCGGAUGUCUCUCAAAUGGGCCAACUUUUCCACAAGACUGCAGCCUCAUCCUCUCCACUUUGGUCAUGAUUUCUCCCAUCAGCUCCUGGUUACAGAAGCAAAUCUCUACUGUGUGUGUUGAACUGCCUGACCAAAAGCAGCUCAUGUGUGUCAACUACUAUGGGGGGAAUAUUCUCCUCUGGACAUAAGGGAUGUUUCCUGUUUGGUCUCCUGCUUACACUGAGCAUUGGUGGCAAUAGAAAAAGAAGUGGUGAUGGUCAGGGUGCAUUUCUGGAACUUCAGGGAGCAAGCCUAGAUUCAUAUCUUAAUUUUGUUCUGUUACACAUUAGUACUCCCCUUUUAAAUGUAUUAUUCUCUAGAGUAAACCUGAUUGAGUUGA